GUCCCCCGGGGGAACAUUUGAUAAAAUUGGAAUGCUACGGAGAAAAUUAGCAUGGCCCUUGCGCAAGGAUGACACGCAUAAAUCUCGGAAUGAUCCAAAAUUUU
rnacentral:snRNA from 2 species